UUAAUUGAAACCAAAAAGAGGUAAAUCACUGUUAAUGAUUAAAUUGAGACACUCUCCAAUUAAA
rnacentral:tRNA from 1 species